rnacentral:rRNA from 1 species
AGUGAAUAGAUACCCAGGUAGUCCAUGCUGUAGACGAUGGAUGCUAGCUGUGAUGCGUAUCGACCCGCGUCGUAGCGAAGCUAACGCGUUAAGCAUCCCGCCUGUGGAGUACGGCCGCAAGGCUAAAACAUAAAGGAAUUGACGGGGACCCGCACAAAGCGGUGGAGCGUGUUGUUUAAUUCGAUGGUAAGCGAAGAACCUUACCCAGGUUUGACAUCCUUGGAAGUUCUGCGAAAGCAGAGUGUGCCUUCGGGAACCAAGUGACAGGUGAUGCAUGGCCGUCUUCAGCUCGUGUCGUGAGACGUUAGGUUAAGUCCUUCAACGAGCGCAACCCUUAUAGUUAGUUGUAUUUUCUAGCUAAACUGCCCUGGUAACAGGGAGGAAGGAGGGGACGAUGUCAGGUCAGUAUCUCCCUUAUAUCUGGGGCUACAAACACGCUACAAUGGCCGGUACAAAGGGAAGCCAACCGCGAGGGGAGCAAAUCCCAUCAAAGCCGGUCUCAGUUCGGAUUGUAGGCUGAAACUCGCCUGC